rnacentral:rRNA from 1 species
CCUACGGGGAGGCAGCAGUGAGGAAUAUUGGACAAUGGGCGCAAGCCUGAUCCAGCCAUGCCGCGUGCAGGAAGACGCAUCUAUGGUGUGUAAACUGCUUUUGUACGGGAAGAAACACUCCCUCGUGAGGGAGCUUGACGGUACCGUAAGAAUAAGGAUCGGCUAACUCCGUGCCAGCAGCCGCGGUAAUACGGAGGAUCCAAGCGUUAUCCGGAAUCAUUGGGUUUAAAGGGUCCGUAGGCGGUUUAAUAAGUCAGUGGUGAAAGCCCAUCGCUCAACGAUGGAACGGCCAUUGAUACUGUUAGACUUGAAUUACUAGGAAGUAACUAGAAUAUGUAGUGUAGCGGUGAAAUGCUUAGAUAUUACAUGGAAUACCAAUUGCGAAGGCAGGUUACUACUAGUGGAUUGACGCUGAUGGACGAAAGCGUGGGGAGCGAACAGGAUUAGAUACCCUGGUAGUCCACGCCGUAAACGAUGGAUACUAGCUGUUGGGCGCAAGUUCAGUGGCUAAGCGAAAGUGAUAAGUAUCCACCUGGGGAGUACGUUCGCAAGAAUGAAACUCAAAGGAAUUGACGG